UAGGAGGGCGCGGCGGUCGCU
rnacentral:snRNA from 1 species